CAGUCGCCACGGUAAUACGUAGGGUGCAAGCGUUAAUCGGAAUUACUGGGCGUAAAGCGUGCGCAGGCGGUUUGUUAAGACAGAUGUGAAAUCCCCGGGCUCAACCUGGGAACUGCAUUUGUGACUGGCAAGCUAGAGUGUGGCAGAGGGGGGUGGAAUUCCGCGUGUAGCAGUGAAAUGCGUAGAUAUGCGGAGGAACACCGAUGGCGAAGGCAGCCCCCUGGGCCAACACUGACGCUCAUGCACGAAAGCGUGGGGAGCAAACAGGAUUAGAUACCCCUGUAGUCCCUGUCUCUUAUAC
rnacentral:rRNA from 1 species